UGGUGACCUGAGGCUCCCCAGCUGUCACUCUGUCCCAGGGCACAGGCUGAGUCGCAGUAGAGUCUGUGGGGUCCUGACCC
rnacentral:pre_miRNA from 1 species